CCCUGUUUCAGUUGCCCAUUGUGCCCUAUAGGAGAUGCUCUGUAUGAUGGUCUUGUAACGUAGAGAGAGAGCUUUAGGUUUGGUGGGCAUUUUGCGGCACCUGUCGUAGAUCUCUAGAGCCUCAUUUUGACCUGCAUGGGACAAAUCAGCCUGUGCGUAUACAUGUGUGUGAAUAAUGCUUUUGAGCUGCAGGUACAAGAAAAGAUAGGAGUUUGGUAGACCAAAUUGCUGUUGUAGCUCUGGGAAGGGGAGAACUUUGUUCUGGUGUUGCAUGGAUUCAAUGGAUAUUAUGCCAUGUUUGACCCAGUUUUGAAAGGUAAGCCCAGGGCUGACCAUGCUGAUGGAUGUGAGGGGUGCACCUGGAUGGAAUCGAAGGUGGGUGUGGUGUUGCUUCUGAAGGAGGUCCCAGUGGUGCAUUGCUAGUUUCGUAGUGAGGAACAGGCCCGGUAGGUUUGGGCGUAAUGCUUUAGGGGUCCACAGUAGGUCUGUUAGCCUCCGUCCAUGGCUGCUCCCAUUUUCUAUGUCCACCUAUUGGAGUGUUUUAUCUGGGGUAUGUAAUUUUAUUGCUGCUUCGAUAUGGAUGGCUUUGUAGUAGGACAGUAAAUUAUUCCUCCCCUAGAGCUCUUCCUAUGUAGUAGGGAUGCAGGUAUCCUUGGUUUGUCUGGAGCCCACAAGAAGGUCAUAAAGACCGAUUGUAACUGUUUGCAGAACGAGACAGGGAUAUGUAUUGGCAACAUGCGAAAAAUUUAUAGGACUUUUGGGAGCAGGACCAUUUUGAUUGUGUUAUUUCUUCCUAGCCAAGAAAGGUGGAUUGACUUCCACUUGAGGAUGUCUGUUUUGCAUUGAGAGAUUAGUGGUUUGAAAUUGUGUGCAAAUAAUUCUCCCGUUGUAGGGGCUAUCUUGAUCCCUAGGUAGGUGAUGUGGUUAGUGCGCCAAUGAAAAGCGUGUUGUUGUUGGAGCGUUUGUAAUAAGGUUGGGAUGGCUAUAGGCAAGGCCUGGGUUUUGGAUCUAUUCAGCUUAUAGUUAGAGACUGCACCUUAUGAGUCCAAGAUAGACAACAGUGCCCGUAGUGACUUGUCAGGUUUGCUUAGGGUUAGUAGUAUGUCAUCUGCAAAUAGGGAUAAUCGGUGUUCCUGUUUUCCUAUCCGGAUUCCCCUAAUGUGUUGGUGCGAUCUAAUCUUGUGCGCUAGGGGUUCUAGUGACAGGGGGACAAUGGGCAUCCCUGCCUGGUCCCAUUUGUGAUUCAAAAUGGUGUGGAUAGGAAUCCUGCGUUAGAUACUCUGGCUGUGGGGUUGUUGUAAAGGGCCAUUAUGCCUUGUAGAAACACGGGUGGGAAGCCGUUAUGCAGUAG